rnacentral:rRNA from 1 species
CCAGCAGCCGCGGUAAUACGUAGGCAGCAAGCGUUGUUCGGAAUUACUGGGCGUAAAGGGUUCGUAGGCGGUGCGGCAAGUCGGGAGUGAAAUCUCUGGGCUUAACUCAGAGGCUGCUUUCGAAACUGCCGUGCUCGAGUGCGGGAGAGGCGAGUGGAAUUGCAGGUGUAGCGGUGAAAUGCGUAGAUAUCUGCAGGAACACCCGUGGCGAAAGCGGCGAGCUGGAUCACUACUGACGCUGAGGAACGAAAGCUAGGGGAGCAAACAGGAUUAGAUACCCUGGUA